UCCAUAGCUUAGUGGUACUGUAGAGUAUCUGCUUUGUAUGCAGAAGAUCCUGAGUUCAGUCCCCAGCAUCUCCAGGUAGGAA